rnacentral:rRNA from 1 species
UGGGGAAUAUUGCACAAUGGAGGGAACUCUGAUGCAGCGACGCCGCGUGAACGAAGAAGGCUUUCGAGUCGUAAAGUUCUUUUAUAUGGGAAGAUAAUGACGGUACCAUAAGAAGAAGCCCCGGCUAACUACGUGCCAGCAGCCGCGGUAAUACGUAGGGGGCUAGCGUUGUCCGGAAUCACUGGGCGUAAAGGGUUCGCAGGCGGAAAUGCAAGUCAGGUGUAAAAGGCAGUAGCUUAACUACUGUAAGCAUUUGAAACUGCAUAUCUUGAGAAGAGUAGAGGUAAGUGGAAUUCUUAGUGUAGCGGUGAAAUGCGUAGAUAUUAAAAAGAAUACCGGUGGCGAAGGCGACUUACUGGGCUCAUUCUGACGCUGAGGAACGAAAGCGUGGGUAGCAAACAGG